AGAUUGUUUGGGGGCAAUUUCGAAGUAAUCCAUUGUAACGCUCCCAUGCUUCAUAAAGUGACUCACCUGGUUGUUAUUCAAAGUUAGCUAUCGCCUUUUGAGUUU